CGGAGGAAAAGAAACUAACAAGGAUUCCCCUAGUAACGGCGAGUGAAGCGGGAAGAGCUCAAAUUUGUAAUCUGGUACCUUUGGUAUCCGAGUUGUAAUCUCGAGAAGUGUUUUCCGCGCCGGACCGCAUACAAGUCUGUUGGAAUACAGCGUCAUAGUGGUGAGAGCCCCGUAACUGAUGCGGAUGCCCGGUGCUUUGUGAUACACUUUCGAAGAGUCGAGUUGUUUGGGAAUGCAGCUCAAAUUGGGUGGUAAAUUCCAUCUAAAGCUAAAUAUUGGCGAGAGACCGAUAGCGAACAAGUACCGUGAGGGAAAGAUGAAAAGCACUUUGGAAAGAGAGUUAACAGUACGUGAAAUUGUUGGAAGGGAAACGCUUGAAGUCAGACUUGCUAUUUGGAAUUCAGCCGCAAGGUGUACUUUUCAAUUUGCAGGCCAGCAUCAGUUUUCGGGGGUGGAAAAGGGUUAGGAGAAGGUAGCAGUUUCGGCUGUGUUAUAGCUCCUGGCUGGAUUCAUCUUUGGGGACUGAGGAACGCAGUGUGCCGCAAGGCAAGACCCUCGGGUCUUUCACACUUAGGAUGCUGGUGGAAUGGCUUUAAACGACCCGUCUUGAAACACGGACC
rnacentral:rRNA from 1 species